rnacentral:rRNA from 1 species
CGGGGUUUCUCCUCCGCCUAUCACUUUUUUGGUGAGGUUGGCUUCCCCGCGCCAACGACGGGUACCCGUCCUAAAGGAAAACCGACCACCCUGGACCUAAAACACGCCCCAAACUCCUUCCGGAGGGAGCCUUGGGAAAUAUUGCUUGAUGGGCGGAAGCUGAUCCGACACUGCCCGCGAGUGAGAGCAGGAUUCGUUUGUACCUUCACCCCGCUCUGAAAAUGAAACGGUACCUUAUGCCAAAAAAAACCGGUUAAUGACGUGCCCCCAGCCUCUGCGAAACGUGGGCGCGAGCGUUAUCGUGAAUUAUUGUAUAGUGAACAGCUUGAAGAUUUUUUGUCCGAGGUCUGAAAAAGUCCGAGACUCCCCUCCCAACCUUCGGUGCGUGCGGUCAUAAUUGACUGUGAUGGUGGCGGUACUCCGCGCUGAAGUAGGGGUGAAGUGCGAUAUUUAUCUGUACUCCACUAGUGAAAGAGGCCAACUUCGGCGCUCUGAUGAUGCUGAGAAUGAAAUGGUGGGUAAACAACAUGAGUGCUCCGCUGAUUCUACACGCCGUAUACGUA